AUUGAACGCUGGCGGCAGGCUUAACACAUGCAAGUCGAGCGGAGAGAGGUAGCUUGCUACUGAUCUUAGCGGCGGACGGGUGAGUAAUGCUUAGGAAUCUGCCUAUUAGUGGGGGACAACAUUUCGAAAGGAAUGCUAAUACCGCAUACGUCCUACGGGAGAAAGCAGGGGACCUUCGGACCUUGCGCUAAUAGAUGAGCCUAAGUCGGAUUAGCUAGUUGGUGGGGUAAAGGCCUACCAAGGCGACGAUCUGUAGCGGGUCUGAGAGGAUGAUCCGCCACACUGGGACUGAGACACGGCCCAGACUCCUACGGGAGGCAGCAGUGGGGAAUAUUGGACAAUGGGCGAAAGCCUGAUCCAGCCAUGCCGCGUGUGUGAAGAAGGCCUUCGGGUUGUAAAGCACUUUCAGUAGGGAGGAAGCGUUGUGUGUUAAUAGUACACAGCGUUGACGUUACCUACAGAAGAAGCACCGGCUAACUCUGUGCCAGCCGCCGCCGUAAGAC
rnacentral:rRNA from 1 species